rnacentral:misc_RNA from 1 species
UCGUAACAAGGUUUCCGUAGGUGAACCUGCGGAAGGAUCAUUACCGAGUGAGGGCCCUCUGGGUCCAACCUCCCACCCGUGUCUAUCGUACCUUGUUGCUUCGGCGGGCCCGCCGUUUCGACGGCCGCCGGGGAGGCCUUGCGCCCCCGGGCCCGCGCCCGCCGAAGACCCCAACAUGAACGCUGUUCUGAAAGUAUGCAGUCUGAGUUGAUUAUCGUAAUCAGUUAAAACUUUCAACAACGGAUCUCUUGGUUCCGGCAUCGAUGAAGAACGCAGCGAAAUGCGAUAAGUAAUGUGAAUUGCAGAAUUCAGUGAAUCAUCGAGUCUUUGAACGCACAUUGCGCCCCCUGGUAUUCCGGGGGGCAUGCCUGUCCGAGCGUCAUUGCUGCCCUCAAGCACGGCUUGUGUGUUGGGCCCCCGUCCCCCUCUCCCGGGGGACGGGCCCGAAAGGCAGCGGCGGCACCGCGUCCGGUCCUCGAGCGUAUGGGGCUUUGUCACCUGCUCUGUAGGCCCGGCCGGCGCCAGCCGACACCCAACUUUAUUUUUCUAAGGUUGACCUCGGAUCAGGUAGGGAUACCCGCUGAACCUAAGCAUAUCA